rnacentral:lncRNA from 10 species
GCCGCCUGUCUCAGAGGAGCAGCUGGCAUUUCAGAAAAAGAUCAUACUUACGUUGCUUUGACUCACUCUGAAGAUUAACCUGGAAUUGCGUCUCUUCUUGGACAAGUCAGAAGUCCUUUCAACUAUCCUUUUCAAUUAUCUUCUCCUGUCUGGUAGUUUCCCAUCUAGAAUUUUAAUUCACGAAGACUGGAAACAGGACUUCACAAAAUGUCAUCCUGGCACAUUUUCCAGGAGGAACGGUUUUAUUUAUAAACAAAUAAUCGGAGCAUUUUCAUUUCGCUAUGAUGAUCGCUGUAAUUGGCAGAAUCACAGUCGCGCUGGGGCUCGAGGCUCCCGGAGGCCGGGGGGUAGGCACGGCGCGGACGCACCCUAGGAUCGCCGCCAGAGGGCGCCAGCGCGCUCCUUCGCGUCUGCUGCUGCCCUGAUGAAAACGCUCACAGCGCACGCGGUACAGACGGAGCAAAUCCUAUGAACUUCUCCAGCCCAGUUUAGAACAAGGGAAAGGGGAGCGCGCGGUACCGGCUGUCCACUCCGCGGUCCUCCUGGCUCAAGUCACCCUGAGUCUUCCCCCAGCUGACAAAGGCGAUCGGACGCACAGCCAGGACCCAGAACCGUGGAUGGAUCCACUUUGCCAAUAUAUUGAAAAAACUGAUGCCAUGUUGAGAGAAGAGAGAAAUCUAUUUUUCUGGUUUCUCUAACAAGCCUUCAUGUUUCGCACGUCAGCACCACCACCACUGGGCUCCUCUCACGAACCUGUUGUAACGGGCCUCCCAGGUGACUGCUAUCUCCUGACGCUGGGCCCACCACCACCUGGAAGCCCUCAGGCGCUGACACUACCACAGGGAUUUUCUUCACCUGGAAUCUGAAGCAAAUGUGCAUUCUUCUGGCAGGGAAGCCUGCGGCCCUAGACAUCCUCAAAGACGUUAACAACAAAAAACCCACAGCUUUAGACUCAAUAAAUUCAGCAGAGUUCACUUCUCCAAACAUACGCCAAGCCAAAGUUUUCUCCAAGCCCUUUAAUAUUCACUUAAACAGUUGAGGCACAAGCAAUAAUAAAACUGCAUUUUUU